rnacentral:rRNA from 1 species
UACGAAGGGUGCAAGCGUUAAUCGGAAUCACUGGGCGUAAAGCGCACGUAGGCGGAUUGCUAAGUCAGGGGUGAAAUCCUGGAGCUCAACUCCAGAACUGCCUUUGAUACUGGCGAUCUUGAGUCCGGGAGAGGUGAGUGGAACUGCGAGUGUAGAGGUGAAAUUCGUAGAUAUUCGCAAGAACACCAGUGGCGAAGGCGGCUCACUGGCCCGGUACUGACGCUGAGGUGCGAAAGCGUGGGGAGCAAACAGG